GGAAUCUGGAAAUGAACAGUUGCGCCUUCAAAAUCUGGCAGUGCAGAUUCAAGGUCGUGUAGAGACGUCCAGCGUUCAUCUCCUCCUCCACUGAAAAAGCCUAAAGCGCCUGCACCUGGAGUUAUGACUUCAAAACCUACCAGUAAGUUCCCCUUUGUAAAUAUCAAUCUUGAGUGCUUCAUUACCAAAUCAUUCAUACCUACUUCCUCUGGCUGCUGCUAUCACUUCUAGCACUGUAAAUCUACCCUUCAGAGACUACAAAAAAUUGUACAUUCAUCCAUAAGUUAUUUUCACGUUUGUUUUUGCUUAUUUUCUAGGUGCU
rnacentral:lncRNA from 1 species